rnacentral:rRNA from 1 species
AUUGAACGCUGGCGGCAUGCCUUACACAUGCAAGUCGAACGGCAGCACGGGUGCUUGCUCCUGGUGGCGAGUGGCGAACGGGUGAGUAAUACAUCGGAACAUGUCCUGUAGUGGGGGAUAGCCCGGCGAAAGCCGGAUUAAUACCGCAUACGAUCUACGGCUGAAAGCGGGGGACCUUCGGGCCUCGCGCUAUCGGGUUGGCCGAUGGCUGAUUAGCUAGUUGGUGGGGUAAAGGCCUACCAAGGCGACGAUCAGUAGCUGGUCUGAGAGGACGACCAGCCACACUGGGACUGAGACACGGCCCAGACUCCUACGGGAGGCAGCAGUGGGGAAUUUUGGACAAUGGGCGAAAGCCUGAUCCAGCAAUGCCGCGUGUGUGAAGAAGGCCUUCGGGUUGUAAAGCACUUUUGUCCGGAAAGAAAUCCUUGGCCCUAAUACGGUCGGGGGAUGACGGUACCGGAAGAAUAAGCACCGGCUAACUACGUG